GGUAGAGUAACUGGUGUGCUCCCCGGUCUUCAAAACCGGUGUGGGGCGCGGGAGGCGUCCCGGGUGGGUUCGAUUCCCACACGU
rnacentral:tRNA from 1 species